GUGCUCACUUUGGCAGCACAUACACUGAAAUUGGAAUGAUACAGAGAAGAUUAGCAUGGCCCCUGUGCAAGGAUGACACACAAAUUUGUGAAGUGUUCCAUAUUUUU
ensembl:snRNA U6 U6 spliceosomal RNA